UACGUAGGGGGCGAGCGUUGUCCGGAAUUAUUGGGCGUAAAGAGCGUGUAGGCGGUUCGGUAAGUCUGCCGUGAAAACCUGGGGCUCAACCCUGGGCGUGCGGUGGAUACUGCCGGGCGUAGAGGGUGGUAGAGGCGAGUGGAAUUCCCGGUGUAGCGGUGAAAUGCGCAGAUAUCGGGAGGAACACCAGUAGCGAAGGCGGCUCGCUGGGCCAUUCCUGACGCUGAGACGCGAAAGCUAGGGGAGCGAACAGG
rnacentral:rRNA from 1 species